GACGGAGGAUGCAAGUGUUAUCCGGAAUCACUGGGCGUAAAGCGUCUGUAGGUGGUCCAAUAAGUCAACUGUUAAAUCUUGAGGCUCAACCUCAAAAUCGCAGUCGAAACUAUUAGGCUAGAGUAUAGUAGGGGUAAAGGGAAUUUCCAGUGGAGCGGUGAAAUGCGUAGAGAUUGGAAAGAACACCGAUGGCGAAGGCACUUUACUGGGCUAUUACUAACACUCAGAGACGAAAGCUAGGGUAGCAAAUGGG
rnacentral:rRNA from 1 species